UAGUUUUGUUGUGGUGCAGUUCAGUUGGUAGUUUAUCACUCCUCUAGUGAUUGCAUCUCUGCCACUAUGGAGCCAGAGUGCUAUGAAAUGACAACCUUAUCUGUGAUUCAUGUAUGAAGUAGCCCGUUGCCAUGGCGUCAGAUGCCAGCCACAUGCUGGAGGCAGCCUUGGAGCAAAUGGAUGACAUUAUCGCUGGAGGGUUCUGCGAGGCCUUCUUGAAGUUUGGGGCCCAGGGUUACCACUCCCAGGGUUCGAACUCUGCCCCC